UCUUUCUAUCUCGGCGGAGGACGGGAGAAGGGAUCGCCUCUUCUCCCGCUCCUCUCGUCAAAGGGGGUUUCUCGGAACCGAUCGGAGAAAUCCCUGCCAAAGUGGAAGGAUCGCAGAUCAAAGGAGGCAUCUCAGAAAGCCAGUGCUCUUGUGUUCCGAUGGGUUCUCGGCUCGCUAUGAUGCCCAUAUUGAAAUUUGAUGAGUCAAAAUGGAGAAGAGACCCAGCGGACGAUGAAGGCUGAUUUGACACUGAAUGUUCAUUUGACCGUAUCAACUUUACAGAUUUCUAGGUUGGGAACUGGUGUUGCCAUGAUGGUUUCAUUCAUUUGGAAUUGGACUUGAAAUGAUGCGACGGUGAAAUCUGCAGCACCGCUUGAAGUUUUGUCCUUUCAUAUUAUUCAUACAGAAAUGACAGCUUAGUAGCGGGAAAAUUGAGUCCAUGUCUCCCUUCAAAUAAGAUCUGGAUUGUCAUAACGAAACUUAAUUCCAAUGAAUGCAGCAAAGCUUUCCAAA